CCUAAGGUGACUGCCGGCUAAAAGUCGGAGGAAGGUGGGGAUGACGUCAAAUCAUCAUGCCCCUUAUGACCUGGGCUACACACGUGCUACAAUGGGCGGUACAAAGGGUCGCGAACCCGCGAGGGGGAGCCAAUCCCAAAAAGCCGCUCUCAGUUCGGAUUGCAGGCUGCAACUCGCCUGCAUGAAGCCGGAAUCGCUAGUAAUCGCGGAUCAGCAUGCCGCGGUGAAUACGUUCCCGGGCCUU
rnacentral:rRNA from 1 species